rnacentral:rRNA from 1 species
UACGUAGGGUGCAAGCGUUGUCCGGAAUCACUGGGCGUAAAGGGCGCGUAGGUGGUGACCUAAGCGUGCGGUGAAAGCCCGAGGCUCAACCUCGGGUCGGCCGUGCGAACUGGGUCACUGGAGCAGAAUAGAAGCAGGUGGAAUUCCGGGUGUAGCGGUGGAAUGCGUAGAGAUCCGGAAGAACACCGGUGGCGAAGGCGGCCUGCUGGGUUCUGGCUGACACUGAGGCGCGACAGCGUGGGGAGCAAACAGG